rnacentral:lncRNA from 1 species
UUUCUGUUUUACUUGAUAAAUUAGGAUUUGAUUUACAGUUCAUCAACAUAAAGUGACAGUAUUUUAUCUGUUUGGUUCAAUUAUAUAGAUAUUUCUCAGUCUGAAAAAAAAACAGAAAACAGUUUAACUUAAUCGAUUUUUUCCAGAUUUACCUAAUUCGCAGGCUUAGAUGUAAUCUUUAGGAGUUUUUGACGGAAAAAAAGUUUGUUUGGAUUAAAAAAAUGCUUGGAUUACAGAUGUGAUCUGUCUCAGUUUUUUUGGUCGGAGAAAAGGUUGGAUGGUGGCUCAGAAAAUAAUUUUCAAUAACUCAUUUAAUAAAAACGAAAGCCCACUCA